UGGCACAAUUAACCGAGAAGGAUAUGUGGAAGAAACUACAGGAUCUUCAGGACAUUGUGUUGGGUAGAAAGGAAAUGGACAUUCAAGAGGCGGAUGUAGGACCAAGCACCAAGGACGAUGGCAAGUACAACGAUGAUGACAAAGAAAAGAGGGACGAGGAGAAAAAACCAAAGAAUAAGAAGUAGAAUGUACACAAAACGUCAGAAAAAUCGCCAAGGAACUAAUGAAACUAAUAAAAACGUCCAGAAAAUUGCAAUGUUCAAGGUCCAGAAAGUGAAGCGGAUGUGCGCUACACUCAUCCGUGUGGCUGAUGAUGCACUAUCUUAUAUCGACAAGCAAAAUAUUCCUGCAUUUGUAUGUCUCCAGCUGAAACAGAACAUCAGCACGCAGGUUGACACCGUCAACGCAGAAAUUAAGAAAAAAAUAAUCUAAAGCUAUUAAUACUAAUAUAAAGAGC